GAUGAACGCUGGCGGCGUGCCUAAUACAUGCAAGUCGAGCGAACAGAUGAGGAGCUUGCUCCUCUGACGUUAGCGGCGGACGGGUGAGUAACACGUGGAUAACCUACCUAUAAGACUGGGAUAACUUCGGGAAACCGGAGCUAAUACCGGAUAAUAUAUUGAACCGCAUGGUUCAAUAGUGAAAGACGGUUUUGCUGUCACUUAUAGAUGGAUCCGCGCCGCAUUAGCUAGUUGGUAAGGUAACGGCUUACCAAGGCAACGAUGCGUAGCCGACCUGAGAGGGUGGUCGGCCACACUGGAGGUGAGACGCGGUCCAGAGUACUACGGGAGGGAGCAGUAGGGAAUCUGCGGCAAUGGGCGAGAGCCUGACGGAGCAGCGCCGCGUGAGUGAUGAAGGUCUUCGGAUCGUAAAGCUCUGUUAUUAGUGGAGAACAAAUGUGUAAGGAACUGUGCACGUCUUGACGGUACCGAAUCAGAAAGCCACGGCUAACUACGUG
rnacentral:rRNA from 1 species